rnacentral:rRNA from 1 species
UGGGGAAUAUUGCACAAUGGACGCAAGUCUGAUGCAGCAACGCCGCGUGAAGGAUGAAGGUUCUCGGAUUGUAAACUUCUAUCGAUGGGGACGAAUAAAUGACGGUACCCAAGUAAGAAGCCCCGGCUAACUACGUGCCAGCAGCCGCGGUAAUACGUAGGGGGCAAGCGUUAUCCGGAAUUACUGGGCGUAAAGGGUGAGUAGGCGGUUGAAUAAGUCAUAUGUGAAAAUCUACAGCUCAACUGUAGACCUGCAUAAGAAACUGUUCGGCUAGAGUGCGGGAGAGGCAAGUGGAAUUCCUAGUGUAGCGGUGAAAUGCGUAGAUAUUAGGAAGAACACCGGUGGCGAAGGCGACUUGCUGGACCGUAACUGACGCUGAAUCACGAAAGCGUGGGGAGCAAACA